rnacentral:rRNA from 1 species
CCUACGGGAGGCAGCAGUGGGGAAUAUUGCACAAUGGGGGAAACCCUGAUGCAGCGACGCCGCGUGAGUGAAGAAGUAUUUCGGUAUGUAAAGCUCUGUCAGCAGGGAAGAAAAUGAAGGUACCGGACCAAGAAGCCCCGGCUAACGACGUGCAAGCAGCCGCGGUAAUACGUAGGGGGCAAGCGUGAUCCGGAUGUACUGGGUGUAAAGGGAGCGUAGACGGCAGGGCAAGUCUGGAGUGAAAGGCGGGGGCUCAACCCCCGGACUGCUCUGGAAACUGCCAGGCUGGCGUGCAGGAGAGGUAAGUGGAAUUCCUAGUGUAGCGGUGAAAUGCGUAGAUAUUAGGCGGAACACCAGUGGCGACGGCGGCUUACUGGACUGUACCUGCCGUUGCGGCUCGAAAGCGUGGGGAGCAAACAGGAUUAGAUACCCCAGUAGUC